UACGAAGGGUGCAAGCGUUGCUCGGAAUUAUUGGGCGUAAAGCGCACGUAGGCGGCUUUGUAAGUUAGAGGUGAAAGCCCGGGGCUCAACUCCGGAAUUGCCUUUAAGACUGCAUCGCUAGAAUUGUGGAGAGGUAAGUGGAAUUCCGAGUGUAGAGGUGAAAUUCGUAGAUAUUCGGAAGAACACCAGUGGCGAAGGCGCCUUGCUGGACCGAUAUUGACGCUGAGGUGCGAAAGCGUGGGGAGCAAACAGG
rnacentral:rRNA from 1 species